rnacentral:rRNA from 1 species
AGUGAACGCUGGCGGUAGGCCUAACACAUGCAAGUCGAACGGCAGCACAGAGGAGCUUGCUCCUUGGGUGGCGAGUGGCGGACGGGUGAGGAAUACAUCGGAAUCUACUCUGUCGUGGGGGAUAACGUAGGGAAACUUACGCUAAUACCGCAUACGACCUACGGGUGAAAGCAGGGGAUCUUCGGACCUUGCGCGAUUGAAUGAGCCGAUGUCGGAUUAGCUAGGUGGCGGGGUAAAGGCCCACCAAGGCGACGAUCCAUAGCUGGUCUGAGAGACGGAGCAGCCACACUGGAACUGAGACACGGUCCAAACUCCUACGGGAGGCAGCAGUGGGGAAUAUUGGACAAUGGGCGCAAGCCUGAUCCAGCCAUACCGCGUGGGUGAAGAAGGCCUUCGGGUUGUAAAGCCCUUUUGUUGGGAAAGAAAUCCAUCUGGUUAAUACCCGGGUGGGAUGACGGUACCCAAAGAAUAAGCACCGGCUAACUUCGUGCCAGCAGCCGCCGUAA